rnacentral:rRNA from 1 species
CUUGCUCUUAUGAAGUUAGCGGCGGACGGGUGAAGUAACACGUGGGUAACCUGCCCAUAAGACUGGGAUAACUCCGGGAAAACCGGGGCUAAUACCGGAUAACAUUUUGAACCGCAUGGUUCGAAAUUGAAAGGCGGCUUCGGCUGUCACUUAUGGAUGGACCCGCGUCGCAUUAGCUAGUUGGUGAGGUAACGGCUCACCAAGGCAACGAUGCGUAGCCGACCUGAGAGGGUGAUCGGCCACACUGGGACUGAGACACGGCCCAGACUCCUACGGGAGGCAGCAGUAGGGAAUCUUCCGCAAUGGACGAAAGUCUGACGGAGCAACGCCGCGUGAGUGAUGAAGCUUUCGGGUCGUAAAACUCUGUUGUUAGGGAAGAACAAGUGCUAGUUGAAUAAGCUGGCACCUUGACGGUACCUAACCAGAAAGCCACGGCUAACUACGUGCCAGCAGCCGCGGUAAUACGUAGGUGGCAAGCGUUAUCCGGAAUUAUUGGGCGUAAAGCGCGCGCAGGUGGUUUCUUAAGUCUGAUGUGAAAGCCCACGGCUCAACCGUGGAGGGUCAUUGGAAACUGGGAGACUUGAGUGCAGAAGAAGGAAAGUGGAAUUCCAUGUGUAGCGGUGAAAUGCGUAGAGAUAUGGAGGAACACCAGUGGCGAAGCGACUUUCUGGUCUGUAACUGACACUGAGCGCGAAAGCGUGGGGAGCAAACAGGAUUAGAUACCUGGUAGUCCACGCCGUAA